rnacentral:rRNA from 1 species
AAUGAACGUUGGCGGCGUGGAUUAGGCAUGCAAGUCGAGCGAGAUUCUUAGCAAUAAGAUGAAAGCGGCAAAAUGGAUAGUAACACGUGGAUACGUACCCUCGGGUUUGGGAUAGCGGCGGGAAACUGCCGGUAAUACCAGAUAAUGUCUUCGGACCAAAGAUUUAUUGCCCGAGGAGCGGUCCGCGUCCUAUUAGGUAGUUGGCGGGGUAAUGGCCCACCAAGCCGAAGAUGGGUAGCGGGUGUGAGAGCAUGGCCCGCAUCACUGGGACUGAGACACUGCCCAGACACCUACGGGUGGCUGCAGUCGCGAAUCUUCCACAAUGGACGAAAGUCUGAUGGAGCGACGCCGCGUGCGGGAUGAAGGCCUUCGGGUUGUAAACCGCUGUCGAGGGGAAUCAAAUUUUGAGUGAUCCCUGGAGGAAGCACCGGCUAAACUCGUGCCAGCAGCCGC